rnacentral:rRNA from 1 species
GACGUAGGGGGCGAGCGUUGUCCGGAAUUACUGGGCGUAAAGAGCACGUAGGCGGGAAUUUAAGUCAGAUGUGAAAGACCGGGGCUCAACUCCGGGGUUGCAUUUGAAACUAAAUUUCUUGAGGGCAGGAGAGGGCAGUAGAAUUCCUGGUGUAGCGGUGAAAUGCGUAGAAAUCAGGAGGAAUACCAGUGGCGAAGGCGACUGCCUGGACUGACCCUGACGCUGAGGUGCGAAAGCGUGGGUAGCAAAC